GACGAACGCUGGCGGCGUGCUUAACACAUGCAAGUCGAACGGGCAGGCCCUGGUUUUGUGCGGCGCUCGAGUGGCGAACGGGUGAGUAACACGUGAGUAACCUGCCCUUGCCCUUGGGAAAACUUCCGAAAACCGGGGCUAAUCCCGGAUAGGAGCUCCUGCUGCCUGGUGGGGGGUGGAAAGUUUCGGUGGUUGGGGAAGGAGUCGGGGCUUGUCAGCGUGUUGGGGUGGUAGUGGCUUACCGAGGCUUUGACGGGUAGCCGGGCUGGGAGGAGGACCGGCCCAACUGGGAUGGAGAUACGGCCCAGCCUCCUACGGGAGGCAGGGGUGGGGUAGAGUGCACUAUGGGCGGAAGCCUAAUGCAGCAACGCCGCGUGGGGGAUGACGGCCUUCGGGUUGUAAAGUGCUUUCGCUUGUGACGAAGCGAGAGUGACGGUAAUGGGUAAAGAAGCACCGGCUAACUACGUG
rnacentral:rRNA from 1 species